UGAAACACCAUAAAGUCACCCAGUCUCGGUCACCCUGGCACACACGGGGUUGUGAUCGUGACCUAGUCAUGUUUCUGACUCCGCUCAAUGGAAUGGAAUGAUUUUCUUUGGCUGUGCUGAGGUUAAUAUUGGAGGCAUAAACCCUCCGAGAAGGUAGAUGAAAAGGAGCGCGAUUCACUUCCUCCUGUUUAACAGGAAUGUGAGGACAGGUCUGGAAAAUACCCUGGCACCAGUUAACAGGUUUAAAAGGGAGUUUCAUUCAUAUAAAUGAUCAAGAUUGUGACUGGCAUAUACAGUGGAAAAGGAAGAAGGGCAAGUGUUUUACUAUAAUUUGGAACCUGAACACCUAAGUUACAAAGGCAGAAGAUCUGGCAGCUUCAACACA
rnacentral:lncRNA from 1 species